GUAUUAAAGGCGACGCCUGCCCAGUGAAAAUUAAACGGCCGCGGUAUCCUAACCGUGCAAAGGUAGCAUAAUCAUUUGUCUAUUAAUUGUAGACCUGUAUGAAAGGCAAAAUGAGGGCCCAACUGUCUCUUAUAACAAAUCAAUUAAACUGAUCUCCUAGUACAAAAGCUAGAAUAAUAACAUAAGACCAGAAGACCCUGUGAAGCUUUAACUAACCUAUUAAACCCAAUAAUAGCUACUUUUGGUUGGGGCGACCUUGGAAUAAAAAAGAACUUCCAACCUAUGACUCCCUCAUAAAAAAGGCAAACAAGCCAACACUAGACCCAGCACAGCUGACAAUUGAAACAAGUUACUCCAGGGAUAACAGCGCUAUCUUCUUUAAGAGCCCAUAUCAAAAAGAAGGUUUACGACCUCGAUGUUGGAUCAGGACACCCCAGUAAUGCAACCGUUACUAAAGGUUCGUUUGUUCAACGAUUAAUAGUCCUACGUGAUCUGAG
rnacentral:rRNA from 1 species